AGGAUUAACGCUGGCGGCGUGCAUGAAACAUGCAAGUCGAGCGCGGUGUGAUGCGGGGUAACCCAAUUCACAUCUAGCGGCGAACGGGUGAGUAACACGUGAGCAACCUACCUUUGAGUUGGGGAUAGCCCUGGGAAACCAGGAUUAAUACCCGAUGUGGUCACAACAGGACAUCCUGAUGUGAGUAAAGGCGUAAGCCGCUCAAUGACGGGCCCGCGGCCUAUCAGCUUGUUGGUGAGGUAACGGCCCACCAAGGCUUCGACGGGUAGCUGGUCUGAGAGGACGAUCAGCCGGAUUGGGACUGAGAUACGGCCCAGACUCCUACGGGGGGCAGCAAUUAGGAAUCUUGCACAAUGGGCGAAAGCCUGAUGCAGCGACGUCGCGUGAGGGAUGAAGUCUUUCGGGACGUUAAACCUCUUUUAUCGGGAAGAACAAUGACGGUACCGGUGAAUAGCCCGGCUAACUACGUGCCAGCAGCCGC
rnacentral:rRNA from 1 species